CCAGCUCCAAUAGCGUAUAUUAAAGUUGUUGCUAUUAAAAAGCCCGUAGUUGAAUUUGAGGAGUAAAGUUUAGGUCCAUUGAAAGAUGAGUACUUUAACUUUAUUCCUUCCCUUGUAGUGAACUAUAUUGAAGAAAUUUGGUAUAGGGAACUAUGAAUUUACCUUGAGAAAAUUAGAGUGUUCAAAGCAGGCCUACGCCGGAAUACAUUAGCAUGGAAUAAUAAAAUAGGACGAGUGAUUCUAUUUUGUUGGUUUAUAGAACCACCGUAAUGAUUAAUAGGAACAGUUGGGGGCAUUAGUAUUCAGUUGCUAGAGGUGAAAUUCUUGGAUUUACUGAAGACUAACUACUGCGAAAGCAUUUGCCAAGGAUGUUUUCAUUAAUAAAGGACGAUGGUUGGGGGAUCGAAAAUGAUUAGAUACCGUUGUAGUCCCAACAGUAAACUAUGCCGACUGAGGAUUGGAUGACGUUAUAUUAUUGACUCAUUCAGCACUCUGCGAGAAAUCAAAGUUUUUGGGCUUAGGGGGGAGUAUGGUCGCAAGGCUGAAACUUAAAGGAAUUGACGGAAGAGCACCACAAAGAGUGGA
rnacentral:rRNA from 1 species